rnacentral:lncRNA from 1 species
ACAGAAGUACCUCGAAGUCUCCAAAUGCUCUCCUUGCCUCAAGGGUGAUAUGCCUGAGUAGCGGUACCUGGAUAUGCACAUGAAAAACAUGCACAGCAAGCGCAUGAGUACACCACAGCGGUACUUAGUAAGUGCCAAGCCUAACCUCGGUCGGGUAGCGACGAGGAAGGUCAGGGCCCUACUAAAAUUAAACAUAAUAAUAAGCUUCAACAAUAUGAAAUAAAUGAUAUAAAUGAGAAUGACAAUGAAAUAAUACAUGCUAUACCAUGCAGCAACAAAUAUACAAAUAAUAGAGUAAAACUGGAAAGCAGAGCAGCUCAAUACCAACAGUAGCACGAGGAUCUCCCAAGAUAUCGUCUUGUAGUCCAUUUUAUCAAAUGUCCAGUGUAUCUCCCGGGAUACCGUCCCGUAGUCCAUCAUAUGUAUUAUCCGAAGGAUCUCCUGGGAUAUCAUCCCGUAGUCCAACUAUCAACGCGCGGGGAUCUACCGGAACCCCGGUCCGUAGUCCCAAAUGUAAAUAUGCAAGAGGGAUCUACCAGGAUCUAACCUGUAGUCCGAAAGUAAAUGUGUAGGGGGAUCUACCGGGAAUCUAACCCGUAUUCCCAAAGUAAAUAUGCAGGGGGAUCUAUCGGGAAUCUAACACGUAGUCCCAAAGUAAAUACACAGCAGCAGCAAGUAGAUGUUCAAAAAUAAAGUUUCAACCAAGGAAACAAGUAAUUCUAGCCUAGCAUGCUUCACGUAAUGAGACUUAGACAAUUUAACAAAUAGGCAAUUACGAAUCAGCUAAACAUGCUUCUCUAGCUAACAUCAGGCUAAAAUUUGCAAGUAUAUAAUAAAACAGGUAAGAAAGGAACUCAGUUUUAGAUACUUAAAGCAAAACCAGACUUUCAACAAUUAGCUCAAGUACGUGCUCGUCACCUCACAUACAAGGAAUUCAAUUACCAAAUAUCAUAUCCUAAGGGGAAGAUACCCCACACAAGGUUAGAUAAGCCACUUACCUCGAAUCGGCUCGAAGUCAACUAGAAAUCAUGCCUUUGACACGAGUAUCCGACCCCAAAUGGUCCAAAUCUAUUCAAUUCAACUACAUUCAUAAAGAACAUCUCAAAUAAUUGAUUCUACGAUUAAUUCAAAGCUAAGACACAAAAUUAGGUAAAAUAACCAAAAUUCCCCUCAGGACAAUGUCUCGGAAUUGGAUGAAACCUAUAUUUUCGGAAACCUCAUACUCUCACGAGUCUAUACAUAAUAAGAACACAAAAAUCAGAGUCCAAAUGACCCCUCAAAGCCUAGAUUAAAAUUCAAAAUCUCAAGCCCUAGUUCUUCCAUUUUUGUCCAAGUUUCCAUGAAUUUCUAGGUUAAUUUCACAAUAGAAUCACGUUUUAGGUUCAAAAAUCCAAUCGAUUCUCCUUGAUUCCCUCUUGAAUCUCCCUCAAAAAGCUCUAAAAUACUCAGCUAUUGUGGAAAAUAUGGCUCAAAAUCGCGGAUGAAAUGUUUUAUAACUUUCUGUCCAGCCCUGAUAUUCCUUCAUCGCAAUCGCAGCCUCAGCCACGUAAUCGUGAAGCAUAUUUUAUUUUUCUCAAAAUUAACCCACGCGAAUGCGACACUAUCCCCCCAAACGCGAUGGUUUAGACCCAUAUACCUACACAAACGCGGUCACACCUAUGCGAACGCGAAGAACAAACAUACUGGACCCUAGAUCCUCAUACGCGAACGCAAACAUUACCAUGUGAAUGCUAAGCACCAGAUCAAGACCUUCAACGAAUGUGGAACCUCAACUGCGAAUGCGAAGAGCAAAACACUUGCCUUCUAAAAUCCUUCUACACGAUCGCGAGAGACCUCACGCGAUUGCAAAGGCCAAAAUUCCUGUGCAACUGUUGCUGCAAUUUCUGCAAUCUUCCAAGACUCAAACUUCCCGUUAGCCAUCCGAAAUCACUCCGAGGCCCCCAGGACCUCAACCAAAAGCACCAACACAUCCUAAAACCUCAUUCAAACUUGUUCCAAUUAUCACAACACCUCAAACAACACCAAAUCCAUUAAUUCACAUCGAAUUCAAGCCUAAGCUUUCUAAAAACUUCUGAAAUACGCUUUUGAUAAAAAAACCAACCAAACCACGUCCGAAAGAACUGAAAUUUUGCACACACAUACCAAAUGACAUAAAGAAGCUAAAACAACUUUCGGAAUUCCAUUCCGUCCCUUGGAUCAAAAUCUCAAUGUCGAACCGGAAACUUCCAAAAUUCAAAUUUCGGCAUUUCAAGUCUAAAUUAGCUACGGACCUCCAAACACAAUCCGAACACGCUCCUAACCCCGAAAUCACCUAUCGAAGCUAACAGAACCAUCAGAUUUCUAUUAUGAGGCCGUCUUCACACUGUUACGACUAUAGACAACUUUCCCAAUACUUAAGCUCUCAAUUAGGGACUAAGUAUCCCAAAACUCUCCGAAAAUUAAAACCGAACAUCCCGGCAAAUCAAAUUAGCAGAAAUAAACUUGGGGAUAGCAGUUAAUAGGGGAUUGGGACGUUAAUUCUUAAGACGACCGGCCAGGUCGUCACAUCCUCCUACACUUAAACAUUCAUUCAUCCUCGAACGAGCAUAGAGACAUACCUGAAGUAGUGAAAAGAUGAGAGUAACGACUGCACAUAUCCUGCUCGGUCUCCCAGGUUGUCUCCUCAGCCGGCUGACCCCACCAUUGAACCAUUACUAAAUGUUCUUUGACCGCAACUUUCUGAUCUGCUUGUCCAAUAUAGCAACUAGCUCCUCAACUUAGGAUAGAUCCUUGUCCAGCUGGACUGAACUGAAAUCCAACACGUGCGACGGAUCACCAUGAUAUCUCCAUAGCAUCGAAACAUGAAACACCAGAUGAACUCCUGUCAGGCUGGGAGGUAAGGAAAGCUCAUAAGCAACCUCCCCAACACGCCUCAAUAUCUCAAAAGGUCCAAUGAACCUCAUACUCAACUUCCCUUUCUUCCCAAAUCUCAUAACACCCUUCAUAGACGAAAUUCGAAGCAGAACCCACUUUCCAACCAUAAAGGAAACAUCACGAACCUUCCGGUCCGCAUAGCUCUUCUGUUUGGACAGGGCUGUAUGGAGUCUAUCCUGAAUUACCUUAACCUUCUCCAAAGCAUCCUGAACCAAAUCUGUGCCCAAUAGUCUGGCCUCACCCCGCUCAAACCAACCUACCGGAGAUCUACACCUCCUACCAUAUAAGGCCUCAUACAGUGCCACCUGAAUGUUGGACUGAUAGCUGUUGUUGUAAGCAAACUCCGCCAAUGGCAAGAACUGAUCCUAAGACCCUCCAAACUCAAUCACAUACACGUGGAGCAUGUUCUCAAGAAUCUGAAUAGUGCACUCAGACUAUCCGUUCGUCUGGGGUGAAAUGUUGUGCUCAACUCCACCCGAGUACCCAACUCCUGCUGAACGACCCUCCAGAACCAUGAUGUAAACUUAGUACCUAUGUCUAAAAUAAUAGAAAUUGGAAUACCAUAAAGACGAACGAUCUCCCAGAUAUAAAUCUCUGCUAACCGCUCUGAUGAAUAAGUAGUACACAUAGGAAUGAAAUGAGCGGACUUGGUUAGCCAAUCUACAAUUACCCAAAUGGCAUUAAACUUCUUCGAGGUCCUUGGGAGUCCAACUACAAUAUCCCGAAAAUAAAUCUCCGCCAACCACUCCAAAGAAUAAGUGGUACACACUGGAAUGAAAUGAGCGGACUUGGUCAGCCGAUCCACAAUAAUCCAAAUAGCAUCAAACUUCUUCAAGGUCCGUGGUAGUCCAGAUACAAAGUCCAUGGAAAUAUGCUCCCACUUCCAUUCCGGAAUCUCUAUCUGCUGAAGUAACCCACCAGGUCUCUGGUGCUCGUACUUCACCUACUGGCAGUUGAGGCAUCUAGCUACAAAUCUAACUAUAUCUUUCUUCAUCCGCCUCCACCAAUAGUGACGCCUCAAGUCCUGAUACAUCUUCGCGGCACUCGGAUGGAUGGAAUACCGCGAACUGUGGGCCUCCUCUAGAAUCAGCUCCCGUAGCCCGUCGACAUUGGGUACACAAACCCGACCAUGCAUCCUCAAUACUCCGUCCUUACCAAUGAUCACAUCUCUGGCAUCACCAUGCUGAACCUUGUCCUUAAGGACAAGCAAAUGAGGGUCAUCAUACUGCCACUCCUUAAUACGAUCAAAUAAUGAAGACUGAGAAACCACACAAGCAAGAACCCGACUUGGAUCCGAAAGAUCCAAUCUCACAAAAUGGCUGGCUAAGUCCUGAACGUCCAUCUCCAUAGGCCUAUCCGAUAGGGUAAAUAUGCCAAACUCCCCAAACUCUCCGCCCGACGACUCAAGGCAUUAGCCACUACAUUGGGGUUGCCCGGGUGAUACAAAAUAGUGAUGUCAUAAUCCUUUAGCAAUUCUAACCACCUCCCCCGGUGCAGAUUUAGAUCCUUCUGCUUGAACAAAUGUUGCAAACUCCUAUGAAUAGUAUAAAUCUCACAAGGCACACCGUAAAGAUAAUGGCGCCAAAUCUUCAAGACGUGAACAAUGGCAGCUAACUCAACAUCAUGACAAGAUAAUUCUUCUCGUGUAUCUUCAACUAUCCAGACGCGUAGGAAAUCACUCUACCGUCCUACAUCAAUACUACUCCAAGGCCAACUCUCGAGGCAUCACAAUAGACGGUAAAAGACCCUGAACCUGUAGGCAAUACCAAAACCGGGGUUGUAGUUAAAGCUGUCUUGAGCUUUUAAGAGCUUGCUUCACACUCCUUUGUCCACUAAAAUAGAGCAUUAUUCUGGGUUAAUGUAGUCAUAGGGGCUACAAUCGAUGAAAACCCCUCCAUAAAACAACGUUAGUAGCUCGCCAAACCAAGGAAACUACGAAUCUCUAUAGCUGAGGACGGCCUAGGCCAGCUCUGCACAGCCUCUACCUUAUUUGGCCACCCGAAUGCCCUCACUCGAUACCACGUAGCCUAAGAAUGCCACUGAAUCCAACCAAAACUCAUAUUUUGAGAAAUUUGCAUAUAACUUCUUCUCUCUCAGAGUUUAGAGCACUGUCCUUGGAUCUGCUCAUGUUCUUCCCGACUCCGGGAAUACACUAGAAUGUCAUCAAUAAAGACAAUGACAAAAGAGUUGAUAUAUGGCCAAAAUACACUGUGCAUCAAGUACAUGAAGGCUAUUGGAGCACUGGUCAGAUCAAAUGACAUAACAAGAAACUCAUAAUGACUGUACCGAGUCCUGAAAGCACUCUUUGGGAUAUCUGGCUCCCGAAUCUUCAACUGAUGGUAACCUGAGCGCAAAUCAAUCUUAGAAAACACCCAUGCGCCCUGAAGCUGGUCAAACAGUUCAUCAAUAUCAGGCAAAGGAUAAUGGUUCUUCACCGUGACCUUGUUCAACUAGCGAUAAUCAAUACACAUACGCAUAGAACCAUCAUUUUUCUUCAUAAACAAGACAGAAGCACCCCAAGGUGAAACACUAGGCCGGAUAAAGCCCUUAUCAAGUAAUUCCUAUAACUGAUCCUUCAACUCCUUCAACUCAGGAGGAGCCAUAUGAUAUGGAGGAAUAGAAAUGGGUUGAGUGCCUGGCAACAAAUCAAUGCCAAAAUCCAUGUCUCUAUCGGGUGGCAUGCCCAGAAGAUCUGCUAGAAAUACAUCAAGAUAAUCCUGUACCACUGGGACUGAAUCAACAGAAGGGGUAUCAACAUUGACAUCUCUCAUAUAAGCUAAAUACACGGCACACCCUUUCUCAACCAUACGCUGAGCUUUAAGAAAAGAGAUAACUCUGCUAGGAGUGUGAUCUAAAGUACCACUCCUCUCAACACGCGGUACACCUGGCAUAGCCUGCGUCACGGUUUUGGCGUGACAAUCAAGAAUAGAUUAAUGGGGCGACAACCAGUCCAUGCCCAAAAUAAUAUCAAAAUCAACCAUGCUGAAUAGCAAUAAGUCUGCUCUGGCCUCAAAACCACAAAUAGUAACCAAACAUGACCGAUAAACAUGGUCCACAGCAAGUGAAUCCCCCAAAGGAGUAGAAACAUAAACAAGGGAACUCAAAUAAUCCCGAGAUACACCCAAAUGCAGAGAAAAAUAAGAGGACACAUAAGAGUAAGUAGAUACUAGAUCGAAUAGAACCCAUGCAUCUCUGCGGCAAACCAAUAUAAUACUUGUGAUAACAAAAUCGGAGGCAACAGCCUCGACACGAGUGGUAAGGGCAUAGUAUCUAGCCUGGCCUCCCACUCGAGGGUGACCUCUGUCUCCCCAGUCUCCACUUCUUGCUGGCUAAGUGGGUGGGGGGCGACUGGAGCUAUAACCAUAGCCUAGGAACUCUAUGGGGCACAUUGUGGCUGAGAAGUCUGUGAAGAUGCACCCCUCCCAAGUCUGGGGUAGUACCAAACUACGUGGCAUGUGUCACCACACUCAAAACAAGCGUUGGGAGGCUGUGGUGGUUGCGACUGGCUAGGGCCAAGUCUGCUGGACUGACCUCUAGAAGCACCCCGCGCAGGAGGCACGCUAGAAAUCGGAGGUGCAUAAUAAGGCUCCUGAGGCCUAGGAGGAGCUGGAGCUGAAGCACUGCUAGCUGUUGGAAGAGCUGAAUGAACGGGGCGACCCAUAUAACCCCUACCAUGACGACCUUCCCAUGGGGUACGGGCACCAGAAUAGUGGCUCGACUCUCGAGACCUCUUGGCCUCUCUCUCCCCUCUCUCCCUAGCAUGCAUACCCUCAAUCCUCCUAGCAAAUCUCACUACCUGCUGAUAAGAAACAUCCAUCUCCAGCUCACGAGCCAUGCCAGAUCCGAUGCUAGGAAUAAACCCCUCAAUAAACCAGCGAACCCUCUCGCGAACAAUAGCAACCAAGGCUGGUGCAUACCUAGCCAAACUGGUGUAACAGACAACAUACUCUGAAACAGUCACAGUACCCUAGUGCAAAUGCUCAAACUCUGCACGCCAUGCAUCCCUAAGGCUCUGAGGAACAUACUCUCGCAAAAGCAGAUCUAAAAAUUGAGUCCAAGUCAGUGAAGUAGCCUCAUCUGGACUAUCUAACUCAUAGGUGUGCCACCACUCAUAGGCGGCCCCUCGAAGCUGGAAGGGGGUGAAAGAAACCCCGAUGGAUCCUGACAUACCCAUGGUAUGGAGAAUGCGGUAACACUCAUCAAGAAAACCCAAAAAAUCCUCUGAUGCUAGAUCACUGAAUACAUGAGGUUGUACUUCUUGAACCUCUCAACCCUCAGCUGCUCAUCCUCGGAAGACGUUGCCUAUCCCAGGGAUGAUCUAGUACUGCAGGCGGCAGGUAUAACCUCUAAGACCUGCUCAACAUGUACUCGCUGCUCAGGAGUGCGGACGGCGGGAGUCUGUGCUUCUCCCCCGGCCUGAGAUGUGGCUGCAGCAACGGGAAGCAACCCUGCCUGAGCCAAGGUGGUGUACAUGCUCAUAAACUGUGCCAGAGUCUCCUAGAGAGCUGGAGUAGUGGUAGCAGUAGUAGUAGUAGGCGUGUCAGGUGCCUGGACUCCAGCUGGACUUGCUGGUGGUACCCCGGCAGCAGAUCACACAGGUGCUCUAGCUGCACCACGUGCGCUUCCUCGACCUCUACCCCGGCUCCGGCCUCUGAACGUGAUCCUGACUUGAUAUAUUGGACUUCUGCCUAGAAUUUAAAGCUCCAAAUCAUUCAUUUUAGCUCCAAACUUGUUUAUUCACUCGAAAUCACAUUCUACACAACAUACCACACAUAACAGUACCAAGUACUAAUAAUUAUGCUCAAACACAUUCAAAAUAUAGUAAUUGAAGUGUAAAAUAUAGUCAGAAUACGGGUUCCUAGCCUACCAUCAACACCUUAUACUAAAACCAUGCUCGCCCCCGAGCAAUCAAACUGCACUUAAAUAGAGAUGACAUUUUCAGAAACCAUCCUAAUUCAUUCUGCUAAUAGUAAUUAAAGUUGACUAAGCACUAUACCGUAACAUCCUAACCUUAAGACUCAACUCACAAGCACCACAUAUUUUUUAAAAACCUGCUCAUUUACUAUAACACAGAGUCAAAAGACAAUAUCUUUCCUUCACAAGUCAUAUGCCCUCACACAAACAAUAGAUAGUAGUUCCACGCACAAAAAGGUUCAAGAAUAAAUAAAAACUCAAGAUAGACAGAUGUGAGCACAUGAUUUUUUCCAUAUAUGAAUUACACCCAUAAAAUAUCAAAAAAUAAUUUUUUCCAUUUUUUACAAUUUUAUAGGAUUUUUAAGGAUUUUUUGUUAAUUAUUUGCAUUUGUUGUGCAUAUUUAAUUUCCAAAAAUACCAAAAAAUAUCAUGCAUUGUAUUUAGAGUUUGUGCUCACAUAUUAAGAUUAGAUAAUUAAUUAAUUACUUUAUUAAAAUAAUAAUUACAAAAAUAGCUCAUUUUUACAUUCCUAGCUUUUAAUUUGGGAUUAUUAAGUUUUCUCUUUAAAUUUAGGAUCAACUAAUUUUUAUAAACUUUAUAGUUAGAUAAUUAGCUUAAAUUUACUAUUUGAAUUAAUUUAGGAAUUUAAUUUAGGUUUUUAACUAAUUAAAGAAAGAAAAGAAAACAAAAGAAAUGGAAAUUGAAAAAAAGCUGGUUUUAAGUUGAAUUGAGCCACACAGUUUAGAAGCCCAAGUUUUCCCCAACCCAACCCAAACCGGGUCGACCCGAUCCGAAUCAAUACCCAAACCCUUAUUCUUUUUUAUACCUAAAUACCUAGACACAAAAAGGGAAGUUGGUUUUAAAUUGAAUUAGGCCACACAUUUUAGAAGCCCAAGUUUUCCCAAACCCAACUCAAACCGGGUCGAUCCGACCCGACCCAACACCCAAACCCUUGUUCUUUUUUUUUUUUUAUUAACUAAAUCAAGGCCUAAAACCUAGGGACUAAGACAUCACAAAUCUGCCGCAAUUCUCAAAAUCAUGAAUUCCCAUAGUUCUUCAUUUUCUUCUUCAGCAAAAAUACACAAAAAUGAGAAAGCUAACCAAAGACCAAAGGCGAGACUGUUCUUUUGAUUGAAAAGAGCUACCCAAAGAAGGGUUGAGCUCCUUCUUCGACUUGGAGCUGCUGCUGCUGCUUCUUCCUCGACUGAAUUCCAUCACCAUCGGAAAUGGCCGAAAACUGGCAACGGAAUUGUAUUUCGUCAAUGGAGUUUGCUUAAAGCUCGUGGAGAGCUUGUUUGGGGUUGUCGACCGAGUUUCAAGCUCGGCGUUCCAAUUAGUGUAACGCUUCCGUUGAGAUCGAGCCCCACAGCCCGAGGUUCGAAUUCCAGUCGAGUUGGGUCUGUUCAGUUUCGGUCAAGUUUUGCUGGGAUUCCGGCAAAGCAUUUCAUUUGUCUGUUCGAGUUUUCUAGUUCCGAUGUUUCAGCGAGUCAAACUUAACUAAGGUCCUUUUUUGGUUAAAUUUGGACCUUCAUUUUACAUUUCAUCUUGUACUAGUUUGGGCCUAAGAUUCUGCCAUUUUGGAAAUUCACAUGUUAAUAUUAUCUGUCGUUGUUUGUGUAAUUUGUUUGUGUUUGUUACUUUAUGAUAUUUGUGUUGUCUAUGUUAAUAUCGAGCUUGGAGAUGAAUAACUGUGGAUAUCGAGCCAGCAUUUUUGUUUUCUCCCAUUUUGUGAUUUGGUUUUGUUACUAAGUUGAUAACUGAACCACCGUUCUUUCCCAAUUGGGAAUGUUUUGCUUUUUCUGCCUAUAGACAGAAUAUUUUUUCCCGACUUCAAUACAUGUAUGCAUAAUAUGAGAAAUAUACAAGGA